GAACCGGUUAGUGAGCUGGUGGUGCAAAAGCCCAAAACAGUUGGCAGGGACGGUCUGAGGUCCACACUGUACAAGGCAUAUACAGGACCACAGCCAGAUCCAUAUAUGAUGGCAUCUGGAAGCAGAUUAUGCCAGGUGCAUCCCCAACCUCUCAUGGUUGUGUUGGAUGGGGUUUCUGAGAUGGAAUGAAAGAGAACUUGGAUAUAUAUUAUGGCAAAUGCAUGAAUGCAUACCUUAAAUUACACUUAUCUUGUCUUUAACAAUCAGUUCAGCCUUCUGUCUUACUGUUGAUCUGUAAUGUUAUUAUUUAUUGUAAAUGUUUGAUGUUAUUUGUGUUGUGAUUAAUCAGUUGUUGUUACGCAUACCAAAAAAUUAAAUGAGGCACAAUUUUGACCA